rnacentral:rRNA from 1 species
AAUAUUGGACAAUGGGGGGAACCCUGAUCCAGCCAUGCCGCGUGUGUGAAGAAGGUCUUCGGAUUGUAAAGCACUUUAAGUUGGGAGGAAGAGUUGUAGGCUAAUACCUUGCAAUUUUGACGUUACCAACAGAAUAAGCACCGGCUAACUUCGUUCCAGCAGCCGCGGUAAUACGAAGGGUGCAAGCGUUAAUCGGAAUUACUGGGCGUAAAGCGCGCGUAGGUGGUUCGUUAAGUUGGAAGUGAAAGCCCCGGGCUUAACCUGGGAAUUGCUUUCAAAACUGACGAGCUAGAGUACGGUAGAGGGUAGUGGAAUUUCCUGUGUAGCGGUGAAAUGCGUAGAUAUAGGAAGGAACACCAGUGGCGAAGGCGACCACCUGGGCUAAUACUGACGCUCAGACACGAAAGCGUGGGGAGCAAACAGG